GAAAUCACAGCAAGAACUAUUAGCUCCAUCUUCGAAUAUAUUUGAAUUUUGAAAUACGGUUUUAAAAUUCACACAAUCGCCGCAUUCAUUCUUCUCUCUAACAAAAUUCAUAUCCUCUUCUACCUAAAAACCCUACUCAGAUCUAGCAAUGGGUUCUACUCCUACCCAAAACCAUAACAUCAUCUCCUCUAUUAGAUACCAGAUCUAGCGAUGGGGUUUCUUUCCUACCCAAAACCCUAACAUCAUCUCCUCUAUCAGAUGAACGAUUGCGUUCCAGAAAAUCACUAAUGUUCCAGAUGCUUGAGUCACUUCGCAUCAUGAGAGGAUCAGGAUACACUAAACGUGUAUAGUUUGUAUUGAUCUAUAUUUCGUGUGUCAGGUGAUUUGUGUUUACAGGUUAAUUUGCCAUCUGGUACAACUAUACUGAUUGUUAAAAUGAGACGAUACAAAGGGAAAAGUGAAGACAUCAAAAUAGUGGAAAAAGAGGACCUUGAUCUUAAAAGUCAGUAUAUAAUGAUUCUUUUUAUAAUUCAUUCUAUGACAUGAUUUUGUUCAUAAGUUUGCAGGAAGAGCAAAUUCAAGAUUUUAUAGAUUGCUCAUUGCAAAAAUAUUUCUCCUACUUAUGAACUUGUUUGUUAGCCACAACUUUAACCUACCGAAGGAGGUUCUGAUUCAACGGAGACAUAUUAACUUCACUAAUAAAUCAUUUAUUAAUCUCACAAAAGAAUUAUUUGUGAUUCUUACUUUUGUUGGACCUUAGACUACACGGUAUUGGGGCUUAGAACUGGCAUGUAAGCCCCUCCACACCUGGAACAUCGCCCCGUGGAGUGGUAGUGGGGGUAGGGGC
rnacentral:lncRNA from 1 species